GGCGUAGCUCAGUUGGUUAGAGCGCCGGUUUGUGGCACCGGAGGUCGAGGGUUCAACCCCCUUCGUC
rnacentral:tRNA from 1 species